rnacentral:rRNA from 1 species
GACGGAGAGGUGCAACGUUCGUGAAUACUGGGCGUAAAGCGCGUGUAGGCGGCUAUGCAAGUCGGAUGUGAAAGCCCUCGGCUCAACCGGGGAAGUGCACCCGAAACUGCAAAGCUAGAGUCUCGGAGAGGAUCGUGGAAUUCUCGGUGUAGAGGUGAAAUUCGUAGAUAUCGAGAGGAACACCGGUGGCGAAGGCGGCGAUCUGGACGAUGACUGACGCUGAGACGCGAAAGCGUGGGGAGCAAACAGG